rnacentral:tRNA from 1 species
GCUCACUUGGUGAAAUGGUAGACACGCUAGACUUAAAAUCUUGUCCAUUUAAGGGUAUCGGUUCAAGUCCGAUAGUGAGCA